UACGUAGGUGGCAAGCGAUACUCGGAAUCACUAGGCGUAAAGCGCAGGUAGGCGGCUCGAUAAGUCUCUUGUGAAAGCUCCCGGCUCAACUGGGAGAGGUCAAGGGAAACUGUUGGGCUAGAGUGUGGUAGAGGAAACUGGAAUUCCCGGUGUAGCGGUGAAAUGCGUAGAUAUCGGGAGGAAUACCUAUGGCGAAAGCAGGUUUCUGGGCCAUCGACUGACGCUGAGCUGCGAAAGCUAGGGGAGCAACAGGG
rnacentral:rRNA from 1 species